CCCUUGUUGGAUUUCGGAUUAAUGGGAGUUAAGGUCCAUCAAUUUGAUGUGUACCUUAUUCUCGUUUCCUUCCUUUUGAAUACACUCCCUGAAAUUUUUUUUUGGGGAUCAAAGUGUUUCAAAUCUUUUACUGUGAAGAAAUUAGAGUGUUCAGAGCAGGCGUAAUCUAGCCUUUGAAUAUAUUAGCAUGGGAUAAUGAAAUAGGACUUUAGUUCUACUUUCGUUGGUUUCUAGGGCUAAAGUAAUGAUUAAUAGGGAUAGUUGGGGUCACUAGUAUUUAAUUGUCAGAGGUGAAAUUCUAAGAUUUAUUAAAGACUAACUACUGCGAAAGCAUUUGACAAGGAUGUUUUCAUUAAUCAAGAACGAAAGUUGGGGGAUCGAAGAUGAUCAGAUACCGUCGUAGUCUCAACCAUAAACCAUGCCGACCAAGGAUCCGGGGGUGUUAAAUAUGGAUGACUCUCCGGGCACUUAUAGAGAACUCAUAAGUAUUUGGGCUCCGGGGGGAGUAUGGUCGCAAGGCUGAAACUUAAAGGAAUUGACGGAAGGGCACCACAAGGAGUGGAACCUGCGGUUUAAUUUGACCCAACACGGGGAAACUUACCAGGUCCAGACACAGUGAGGAUUGACAGAUUGAGAGUUCUUUCUUGAUUCUGUGAGUGGUGGUGCAUGGCCGUUUCUAGUUGGUGGAGUGAUUUGUCUGGUUAAUUCCGUUAACGAACGAGACCUUAACCUAUUAAAUAGUUGCUUGAACACAUGAAUAUUUUAUUCUUUGUUCGGUUAACUUCUUAGAGGGACUCUUCACUGAGAGAGUGAAUGGAAGUUUGAGGCAAAAACAGGUCUGUGAUGCCCUUAGAUGUUCUGGGCCACACGCGCGUUACACUGACAUAUUCAACGAGCAUUUUCCUGGCCCGAUGGGGUUGGGUAAUCUUUUAAAUGUAUGUCGUGCUGGGGAUAGAUCAUUGUAAUUAUUGGUCUUGAACGAGGAAUUCCUAGUAAGUGCAAGUCAUCAACUUGCGCUGAUUACGUCCCUGCCCUUUGUACACACCGCCCGUCGCUCCUACCGAUUGAAUGGUCCGGCGAGAACUCAAGAUGGAAAUAGGUUUUGGACACCGUCAGGUGCUCCAACUAUAUCCAGAAUUUGUUCAAACCUUACCAUUUAGAGGAAGGAGAAGUCGUAACAAGGUUUCCGUAGGUGAACCUGCGGAAG
rnacentral:rRNA from 1 species